AAGGGAGGGGAAAUAGCUUUAGCCAUGACAUAAAUAAUGUAGGAAACUUUCUAGAGGGAUUUCUGAACAGAUGUCUUGUUACCGAAUAGCCCAUGAGCUCGAUAAUAUAAACAAGUUAGGCAUGAAUCCAACUCAGAGGAGGGGAUUUUUUUACAAAACAUUGGAUGCCUAGUUGGAUAGGAGACUAUCAGUACAGGGUAUGCUGCAGAUUUAAGAAACUUUGGCCAAAUUAUGUUUCAGUGGAUUUUAAUUUAAGAGUCCAACCUAAAACUCAUGACACUAGAAUGGGUCUAACAUAUACCAGUAAAAUGAUAUCUUCCAGAGGUUAAGCAGAGAACUCUGUAGUAACUAAUAAAAUUUCUCAGGCAUUACGUAAAACGUCUUUCAGGGAAACAAUCCAAGUCUAUGUUAUUAGAGAAUAUUAAACUCUGUCGAGUAAUCUCGGAGUAUCUUGAUGUUUCAGAAUCUGUCUUUCAAAGGAUUAUGUCUUGAGUCACCCACCAGAGAUGGAAAGAAACGUAGAAGUAAACUGGUCUUGCUUGUAUCUCUUAGAAUUAAAAUGGGUGACAUUAUGUGUCCUUCCUUCCAUAUUAACUAACGCAAAUAUGUGCCACUGGUCAGCAACCAGAUUCCCACUUUACGUGCAGCUGCCGUUUUGGAAAAUGGCAACUCUACUGCCAUUUAAUUUUAUAAUUGUUGUAAAACAUGUUUUAAAAAUCAGUCAUUGAUUUUUUUUUUUCUCCCUCAUUCUCACUGAUAUAUCGGCCAAGUGCUGAAGCUCUUAUGACACAGGACGUAUUACGCAUUAGUUUGGGUACUUUUGGGUGAAUAAAGACCUCCUAAGUAAAACCAGCUUAGCCAAGAAGGAUGCACCUAGUCUCCUGUAUCAAUACAUCUGGAAGCAGGGCCUUCCCCCACUGGUUCACUCUGGAACAGCGGGGUUAGGCCUGCAGGUCUGCUCUGGUCUCUUGGCUUCCCCUUUGGAUUGUGGGGGACCUCCCGCUGCUGAAUCAUCACAUCUCUUCAGGGACAGCAGCCAAGACAGGAAGAGUGGCAGGACCUCCCACAGGGCAGCUCUCCUAUUAGAGAAGAAAAGCCUUCCCCUUAGGUCACACUGGUCUGAACCUGUCACACCACUCUUAGUGGUGGGGACGGCUCUGCAGGUGAGAUCUGGUGGGCAGCCCCUGGAGCACCCGGUUCUCCCAGCCCGGAAGCCAAGGAAGGGAGAGGGGCUGUUGGACAGACCCACAGCCCUCAGCCACACAUUAGUAUUUGAAAUGAACUCCCAAGCAACAUUUACCAACACGCCUAAUCUUCCACAGUAUUUUGUUCAGGGCUAUGAAUUAAGGAUGAUCUAGAGCCAAGAAAACUUUGAUAUCUGCGCUCCCCCCCCCUUUGAAGUUCUCUGUACAGUGGUGUGAAUUAAAUGUCAAACAGUUUUACUACUUGUUUUAUUUAUAAUGUGUAUAAAUUGUGUGGCGUGACUCAGUUCCUUUUUGUUAAGUCCCUCCCCUCCCUCUUGGGAGACUUCCUUAAAAGCACUGAUAGGAUUCUGGUAUUUGGGGGCUUUUCUCCUUUAAGUCUUAUACCAUGCACGUUUUUUGAUAUUGACAAGCUUAAAUAUAAUGUAGGAGAAACUGUGUUGAAUCCCAUCUCUGGAGGGCUUAUGGAUGUGAAAGAACUUUUAUAUGAAAAAAAUCUUUGUCCCAAUGUACAGGGGACUAUAUCCAGUCUCUUGCAAUAGAACAUGAUAGAAGAUAAUAUGAGAAAAAAAAGGUGUAUAUAUAUGGAUGACUGGGUCACUUUGCUGUAGGGCGGAAAUUGAUACAACAUUGUAAAUCAACUAUACUUUAAAAAAAAGCAAGCAAAAGCAAAAAAACCCCCCCAAAAAAUAACAAAAAACCCCCCCAAAAUCGAAAACCCAUAACCACAAAUACUACCAUCAUACUCAGACUAUUAGCCCUAAUAGUUUAUUAAUAUCAUGUAAUAGCCAAUGUUCACAUUUCCUCAGGUAUCUUUAAAAAAUUUUUUGGGGGGUAUAUUUGUUUGAAUUGGGAUCCAAAAUGUGGCCGAUGUGUCUGAGUCUUUUAUAAUCUACAGAGUCCCUUUCCACCUCCUUUGCCCCCCUCCCAAACUAUUUAUUUGCCUUUUUUUUUUUUUUUUUUUUGCCGUUUUUGUUGUUGCAGUUGUUGAGUAAAUUGGAUGGUUUGACCUUAAUUUUUUUUUUUUUUUUUUUUUUGGGUUCAGGAGUUUGCUUCUGGUAACACUGAUCCAUUUAAAAUGGUGGUUUGAAAUGAUAAUAAAAUUUACAUUAGUGAUACAAAUGAUACUUCUCAGGGCUCCGAGGACAUGGAGGUGGUGUUUUAACAGUGGCGUUUCUCUCUAUUUUAUCUUUGACCGGAUUCAGGUAAACAGAUAUGAUUUUUAUUCAGAGGUGACAGCACUUGGUUUGUUUUCCCUGGCACAGGUCUUUCUUUCUCUUGGAAGCAAGUGUACCUCUAUAGGUUUAACCUUAUAGUUCAUAAUGAGUAUAAUAUUUUAUGAUGAUAAGAUGAGAAAAAUUGAUGCAUUAAUGUGUAGUCUGUUGAAACAGUAUCACAUUGUUAAUAUGAACUCCUGGUGUGUUUUUUCAAGAACACAACCCAGUAGGGUUUGGUUUGAAACGUCCUAGUCUAGAAUGUGUUCAAAAUACACUGUUAAGGGAAAUAAAGUGGGAUAGAGAAUUCCGUGGUGUGAACCCAGUUAUAUUAUUAUCUGUGAGUAGAAAAAAGACUAGAAGGAAGUUCAUCAAAGUCUUACCUAUGGUUGUAUUGGAAUUGGAUUAACUAGGAGUAUUUUUUAUUUUCUUUUUUUAUGAUCUGAAUUUUUUUUGGGGGGGGCGCUAUUUCUUAGGCUGCUCCUGAGGCACAUGGAAAUUCCCAGGCUAGGGGUCUAAUCGGAGCUGUAGCCACCAGCCUACGCCAGAGCCACAGCAACGCGGGAUCUGAGCCGCGUCUGCAACCUACACCACAGCUCACGGCAACGCCGGAUCGUUAACCCACUGAGCAAGGGCAGGGACCCAACCCGCAACCUCAUGGUUCCUAGUCGGAUUCGUUAACCACUGAGCCACGACGGGAACUCCUUUUUUUUUUUUUUAUGAGAGUUCCCUCACUCUGUCUUUUUUGCCACACCCACAGCAUGUGAAAGUUCUCGGGCUAGGGUUCAAACCUGUGCCACACAGCAGCGACCAGAGCCACGGUGGUGAAAAUGCUGGAGCCUUAACCCGCUAGGCCAUCAGACAACUUCCUGAUCUGAAUUUUUACUGAGAAAAAAAUUAUCUCGAAACAACCCUGGGAGUUCCUGUCUUGGUGGCACAGUAAUUAACGAAUCUGACUAGGAACCAUGAGGUUGUGGGUUCGAUCCCUGGCCUUGCUCAGUGGGUUAAGGAUCCAGUGUUGCCAUGAGCUGUGAUGUAGGUUGCAGAUGUGGCUCAGAUCCCGCGUUACUGUGGCUGUGGUGUAGGCCGGCGGCUGAAGCUCUGAUUGGACCCCUAG
rnacentral:lncRNA from 1 species